rnacentral:misc_RNA from 1 species
UAAUAAGGAGCCUUACUAUGUCCAGCCACAAGGGAGCAAAAUUAAAAUAACACAACAGAUAAUAAAAAAAAAAAUUCUUUCAUAUUAAAAAAAAAAAUUUAAAAACAUAUGAAGUAAAUUGCAGAAAAAUCAGUGCCAAGAGCCCUUCAUUUCAUUUCAACUUCAAUGUUGCUGAUUAAAACCUUAUGCACAGAGGCUUGUUUGUUGUGGCUCUUUAUUUGUUCAUUUAGGAUCUCACCAAUUCAACCAUCCCUUUUGUUAUUCUUCAAGAGCUUCACCAUUGCUAUACUUAAACAACUUCUUUGACUUGCAAAACUUCAUAAGGAAAUACCAUCCAAUGGCUCCCACAGUCAUCAAGCCACUCACCAAAUAAACAAUCUUUGUAGCAAUUGCCAUUAUGAGCACUAAGAACGCAGAUGGUAUUAAGCACAUUAUCACCAAUCCUGGCAGCCUCAUUGGAAUCCUGUAAGGUCUCUUCAAUUCUGGCAAUUUCCUUCUCAACCAAAGAAAAGAUGCAAAUUCUAAUAACAUUCCUAAACUAUACAAGAAAUUAGCUGAUGAAAUUAUAUCAGUAAAAUUCAUGUAUGAUACCCCAAGUAUGAUCAAUGUUGAAAGAAGUAUCCCUACCCAAGGAGUAUUAAACCAUUUGGACCUUUUGGCAAAAAAAUUUGGCAGAAAUCCUAAAUCAGCCAUUCCAAGAAGCUGGAAAGCAGUACUGCUCAAUUGAGCCUCAAACAAACCUAUAGCAGAUAAUGUAGCACCAACUUCAAUCCAAUAUUUUAGCCAUCUCCCUGCAAUCAUCUCUGCUGCAGUGGCAUGAAAUCCUGAUUCCCAUUCACUUUGAUUAACAGAAACAGCACCGAUCACCGCGAAAAGUGGUAUGAAGUAAGACAAGCAAGUGAAGAUCACAGCAACAAAUAGAGCCAAUGGAAAUAUUUUCUGGGGUUUAUCUACUUCUCCAGCCAGAGUGCUGACAUUGUCCCAAAAAUUCAAGUUCCAAAAAAGGGUAUUGAAGAACAAAGUCCAAUCUUUCUUUACACCUUUCUGUCCUAAACUGAUCCAUCUAUGGGGAUGAAUCUUGGGGAUUGCUAAAAGGGACAUGAUUAUGAAAGGAGCAAGAGAAACUAUACCAAGCCCAACAGCAACAUAGCCAACUAUGGUUAAUCCAGUAUAAUUGAGAAAAGAUAGAAUUAUAGAGGAGACCAAAAUGGCAAUUUUUCGAGGCCAACCUGAGUUCAAUGCAGGGAGUACCCUCUUCAUAUAAUCAAUGCAAAGGACUGGAAAGGCAGCGAUGUUAAUGACAAUACUCAGGAAUUUCCAUGAACCCAUCAAGGAUCCAAAAAAAGGACCAAAUGCACGUUCGGCCCAUAUAACAAAUCCUCCAUUUCCAGGAUAGGCAGUGGCGAGCUCAGCUGUAAUCAAUGCCUCGGGAAUACUCCAUAUGAAAGGAAAUAUCAAGAAACCAAGAAGAGCAUAAAGAGGACCUGCAGCUUGGACAGCAGGCUCUUCACCAAAAGGGCCACCAGCGACUUCAAAAUAGAUUAUGAAUAUGAGAGGAAGGAGACUAAGUUUCUUUGUUAAUUUGGUGGUGGUGUUAGCGGUGGUGACAGGGAGUUCCUGAAGCACAUUUGACGAUUCUGCUGGGGUUUGCAUAGUGGGUUCUUGGCUUUGGGUAAGCCUAUCAAAUGUUGUGAUGCUGUGUGAUUGGAUUUCUGCUUGCAUAAUUGGAUUGAAAGAAAGAGAGUAUUGAAC